CCUACGGGCGACAGCAGUGGGGGCUAUUGCACAAUGGGGGAAACCCUGAUGCAGCGACGCCGCGUGUGGGAAGACGGUCCUCUGGAUUGUAAACCACUGUCCCCAGGGACGAAGAUGACGGUACCUGGGGAGGAAGCUCCGGCUAACUACGUGCCAGCAGCCGCGGUAAUACGUAGGGAGCGAGCGUUGUCCGGAAUUACUGGGUGUAAAGGGAGCGUAGGCGGGACUGCAAGUUGGGUGUCAAAUCUACCGGCUCAACCGGUAGCCGCACUCAAAACUGCAGUUCUUGAGUGAAGUAGAGGCAGGCGGAAUUCCUAGUGUAGCGGGGAAAUGCGUAGAUAUUAGGAGGAACACCAGUGGCGAAGGCAGCCUCCUGGGACGCAACUGACGCUCAUACACGAAAGCGUGGGGAGCAAACAGGAUUAGAUACCCGGGUAGUC
rnacentral:rRNA from 1 species